AGACGAAUGGUUCUAAUUGCAGUUCCUG
rnacentral:sRNA from 1 species